GGGAAUGUGGCUCAUUAGUAGAGUGCUUGCCUUGCAUGCAUGAAGCCCUGGGUUUCAUUCCUU
rnacentral:tRNA from 1 species